ACAACACAGCGUCAUCAGCAUACACUCUGAACACAUGCAGCUCAGAAGAUUUACAGAGACUGAAGAGAAGAGGAUCCCAGUUUUGGCAGUAUUAGUGUUUGCAACAAAACCGUCCCACAAUGAUGAUAUCGGCCAAAGUUUUAGGAUGAGAAGCAGAGAAAUUAAGAAUGGAUCUGCCAUGCUUGGAAUAAAUGGGACUGACCCGUCGAUGAUGAGACUCUCGUACGCAGCCUUCUUGUCACACACAGGACAGAUCCAGGUGGGUUUCUUCUCGUUCAUCUGCAGGUACAGGGCAGCGUCAAAACACUGCAGGUGGGAGCAGGUCACCGCCCGGCACGGCACCGUCAAACGCAUCUUACCCAGCUGGAGGACAAAACACACAGGUGCCCAUGUCACUGAAAUCUGAUUGGGUACAGCAGAGGAGAGGCGGACCAGAGAGGUGAUGUUGAGAGGUCUUCCCGGUCUCUUCUGUUCCACACCAUUUUUUGGUGGCGGUGCGUAACCCUGCGGGAACAAAAGACUUUGUUAGCGUCUGUAUGGGGAUCAAUUCAGUUGGACUGACUUCUGGAGUACAAGAAAGCACUUACUGGCAGAGGGAAAAGUUUCCCGUUGACCUUUAUACACAGACUGUUUGGGUAGUUAUCCUCUUGAGUGCAACUCGUCUCUGACAAGCAAAACCUGACAACACGAAGAAAAAUUUAAGAGACAGAAUCUGUAUCCAGGAAAAAAGCACUCUUUAUGAGUUCAAAUUAUGUUCAGCAAAACCUUUGUAUUGUAGUGUUUUUGAACAAGUGUCUUCCCCUUUUAAAGUACAUGUUCAUUGUGUUUGCUAAACCUGUGAUGGAUCAUUAAUAAUGGGAGCACAGGUGGACAGUUUUUCUUAAUGCUGGUGCUAUUCUUUACAGAGCAGGGCAGCGUAUGGCUGAUAUAGAUCCUCUGAUACCAAAACAUCAUAAAUGAUACACAAUAUUGUUGAAUGUCAAUUGACAUUUAUAUAA